UCAGCUUAUGAACGUACCAUGUGGUGGAGCCAGCUUUAGAGUCCGGGGUUUCUGCCCAGUCCACCCUCCCUUCUUCCUCUCCCAUCCCCAGCUGACUCUACCUGCCUCCUCCUUCCUCUCUCUUCCUUCCACUUCUCACUGCUCUUUCCAUGAAUAUGUCAGCCAAGUGGUCUCUCUGUGGCGUUCAGUCCCGACCACUGCAGACACAGCUCCAAAAGUACAGAGAGGAAAGACUUCUCAUGGUGAUUUUCAGCAAGUCUUCCUGCCCAUUGGCUCUCACCAUCAUGGCACCCAUCUGCUUCAUUCUGACAUCUAUUCACUGGUGCUCUCUUAUCUACAUUUGGAUGGGAGUGGAUGAAAGACAAAUCACUCCUGGUUCUUACCCUCAAGGAUUGCAAUCCCUAAGCGAGACUGAUCUGCUCAUAUCAAGGAGAAUGGGCACUCCUAGUCUUGAUGAAGUCCUACAAAAAUCAGACGACAGACAGGAGAAGCUGGUACCAAGGACUGACAACCUCCAGAAAGGACAGCAAGAUAUCAAGCAUGACUUCUUGGGCCACAUUUCUCCCUGGGACCAUCUUGACAUCUGUUUGAUCCAGUCCUGGUUCUUCAUUCUGCCCAUUUAUUCCAUGAUUCAUUCUGGAGAAAGAGGCAAGUUCUUUGUGAUUCUGCCACCCUGCAAAAUCCUGGAAAAUGUCUGAGACUGGCCAUGCAGGGGAGAGUACAUGCUGUCUUUCAGAUUGAUGUUGACAUUCAUACAACGUAUUUCCUUUUCAAUAUCCACUACUUAGCUACUUUCUAUUAAAAUCAUGAGUUAUGAAAAUAGUUGUGAAGUCAAAAGAAUAGUUCAUGCUUUCUUUGUUUGAUUGUGUGAUUAUUUUUUAUGC
rnacentral:lncRNA from 1 species